UUCCCCAUGGCUUAGUGGUAAAGAAUCUUCCUGCAAUGCAGGAGACACAGUUUCAAUCCCUGGUUGGGAAA
rnacentral:tRNA from 1 species